GGUAAAAUGGCCGAACAAAGGUAAUAAACUGUAAAUUUAUUCAUGAAGAACAUUCUUCUUUUACC
rnacentral:tRNA from 1 species